rnacentral:pre_miRNA from 1 species
UCGUCAUAAUCAGGAUGAUGAUGAUGAUGGUAAUGAUGAUGAUGGUAAUGAUGAUCGUCAUCACUAUCACCAUCAUCAUCACCAUCUUCA